GGGACAUAUUAGUCUUGAUCUAAAUGUCAUUGUUUUUUUAACGGCCAGUAAAAUCAGUCCCAUGUACUCUCUCUCGGAGCACCCACUGGACCAAACAGAGUACUCCGAGAGUAAUCCUAGUCCACCACUAAUUCCGGGAAAAACCCGGUAACCCACCUGACUGUAGACAUGACGGUGAAAUUACAGGUAAAAGUUGUUUGGCUUCUUGGCAAGAAUAGUGACAAUUAGAUCAAAUGCACAGCAUUAUUAAGUAAUUUUGUUGAUAAAAAAUAAUAUUAUCCAGUAAUCUUGAUUUACCUUGCUAAAGAUCUUGAAGUUAUGAUCAUUCAUUCAUUCAUUUUAAACAUAUAAAUACCAACUUGAAUGAAGUCUAACUUUUAUUGAACGGCAAACCACUCCUAAAUACUCUUAUGCCUACACUUUACAGGAUUUGAACUAUCCACCUCUUGGAUUGAGGGGAGGAUCGUACCAACACUCGAUGUCCCUUUGAGGACUUGAAUACCCUAGUUGACUAGAAUGAGGGUCAAAGAAAUGAAAUUAAAUAAAUCCCAACUUGAAUAAACCCUAUUGACGCCCAUGACAUUAGAGCCUAGUGACAUUUUGGGGAUGGGAUAAGUUUUGGGACCAUUAGGUCCUGGGUUUGAUUCUCACAAAUGGUGGUUUUCCCAUAUUUAUUGUGUUUCCUCCUGAAUUGGUGUAUAGACAUUAUAUAGCCUAGUGAGAAUUGGAUAUGAUCGGGUGGUUCUAUUGGUGGCACGAUGAUACUCCAGUGGUCCGUCAGUGAUCCUAAUUUACCGUUCAAAAAAAAGAAUAAACCCAACUGACCCUAGUUGACUAAAAUGACCUCAAGGCGAUUUUAGCCUAGCGUAUCAAGAUGUACAGUAAGGAUGUUUCUCCACAAAUGGUCGAUUGUUCCCGUAAUAGAUAUCGAUGUAAAUUUAACAAUAUGUUUAGACGGUGUAUGAGUUAGCCAUUCUUAAAAAAUUGACACAGUAACUUUCUAGGGUUAGAAAAGGCCUAAAGAGUUCCAUUUCUAAUUUUCUAGAUGCAAGUGCUUGGUCUACUUCCAUUUAAAAAUGCAUAUGCAGAACAUAUCCAUAUAAAAAUUUGUGUGUGUAAUUAUUUAUAUGCAUAUGUGCAAAAAUAUUGCAAGAAAUGAAAAAAUUUUAAAGAGAUUUUACCAUAGACCAAAUUGGGAAAGAGGCCAAUGCUGCAACUCUCAGUUCUUAGCUUUAUCUUUCUGAUGAUCUACUCCUCCGCCGUAGCUAAGCGGGUACCCGCCUGUCGACUGAAAAUGAUCAACACCGCUAUUCGGAACAAUGAAAAACGGAAGAUUCGAUGACGCUGAUCCGUCUAUUGCAGAUUGUUGAAACCUCUGAAGGUGGUGAUGAUGAGGCAAAACCGAUGACGGUAAAUUGGACUGAAGGGUCCCCCUAGUGAAACCACCUGGAGCAACACCACCGGACGAAGACGACGGUGACGUCAUUGAAAAGUUUAAGUUGUCUUGUUGUUGAAAGAAAGAGAACUGAUGCAGGUUAUUGUUGUCACCAGUGGUUAUGUUGAACUGUGGCAGUUGAAACAACUGAGUUUGAGUUUGUUGAGGCGGGCGGUUGUAGAAAUAUUCCAUCGGUGAGCGGCCGCCGGUGAGAAGAUCUGUGAAAGAUGAGUUGUUUGAUAUAUUGUUGGUGUCCAUCUGGCCAGUUCUCUCGCUCGUUCUCGAGCUUUGAGUCUGUUCUCUGAUCGAGACAGCGAGAGCUCUGAC
rnacentral:lncRNA from 1 species